UUUCUUGAAAAACUCCGGUGGUGUAAGAUGGACCCGCGUCUGAUUAGCUGGUUGGCGGGGUAACGGCCCACCAAGGCGACGAUCAGUAGCCGGCCUGAGAGGGUGAACGGCCACAUUGGGACUGAGACACGGCCCAAACUCCUACGGAAGGCAGCAG
rnacentral:rRNA from 1 species